rnacentral:rRNA from 1 species
AUUGAACGCUGGCGGCAGGCCUAACACAUGCAAGUCGAGCGGAAGAAGGGAGCUUGCUCCUGGAUUCAGCGGCGGACGGGUGGGUAAUGCCUAGGAAUCUGCCUGGUAGUGGGGGAUAACGUCCGGAAACGGGCGCUAAUACCGCAUAAGUCGUGCGGGAGCAAGAGAGCGAUAUUCGGACCUCACGCACUCAGAUGAGCCUAGGUCGGAUUAGCUAGUUGGUAGGGUAAAGGCCUACCAAGGCGACGAUCCGUAACCGGACUGAGAGGAUGAUCAGUCACACUGGAACUGAGACACGGCCCAGACUCCUACGGGAGGCAGCAGUGGGGAAUAUUGGACAAUGGGCGAAAGCCUGAUGCAGCCAUGCCGCGUGUGUGAAGAAGGUCUUCGGAUCGUAAAGCCCUUUAAGUUGGGAGGAAGGGCAGUAAGUUAAUACCUUGCUGUUUUGACGUUACCAACAGAGUAAGCACCGGCUAACUUCGUG